CGAAACCGAUAGCGAACAAGUACCGUGAGGGAAAGUUGAAAAGUACUCUGAAUAGAGAGUUAAAUAGUACGUGAAACCGCUUAGGGGUUAAGCCCGAUGAACCCGAAUAUCUGAUGUGAGAAAUUCAAUACGAUUCAAAUUCAUAUUUUUAUAUUGAAUUUGUAUAGUAUGCACUUUUCUCAUAGUAAGACAUUGUAAUCCAUUGAUAUUAUAUCUCAUUUGGGAUGAUUUAACAUACGGACAAAAUGUUUAUGAUUAUUCUAUCAGUGAUAUGUUUACAUGUCAUAUGAAUAAAAUCGUUUUGUUUCCUGUUUAAAUAGUCGAUGGAUUUUUCAUUGAAAUCAUGCUUGCAAUUUAUUUUGCGUUUCGUAUCAUUAAUUUUUAAUUUUUGAUAGCAGAAAUGGCAUGUAUUCGAUUAACAAUGCGAUAGAUUUGGGAUACUUUCAGGACCCGUCUUGA
rnacentral:rRNA from 1 species